rnacentral:rRNA from 1 species
GUGAAUCCUUUCAAGUGGCUGCCAUCAUCGAGAAACUCCCUCUUAUGUGGAGAGAUUUCAAGAACUAUCUCAAGCACAAACGUAAGGAGAUGAAUUUGGUAGAAUUGAAGCUAGUUGGUGAGGUAAUAGCUUACCAAGGCCAUCAGUAGCUGGUCCGACAGGAUGAUCAGCCACACUGGGACUAAGACACGACCCAGACUCCUACGGGAG